UGCUUUAGAACAAGAAGACAUGGCCGUCUCUCAGGCUGUUUGGCCUUCAUUCCGCCUGGGAGGAUGAUGGAUUAGGUCCCUGAACAGAGCGGCUUUGGGGCUUCUGGAUAAUCCUAGGCUGCUCUGUGGCUGCUGGAGGUGAAAGGGUCUUGCCAGUCAUAGUUUGCCUUCGUGCCAGAGUGGAGCAUUGUCCUCUCCAUCCUCAAGGUCCCUGAUAUCGACUGGAAUUGGCCACGGACUUUAUCUUCCCUGCUCUUGCAGCUUCCUUUAUUACGACUCACUACUCCGAGGAUGGAGUGGAUUCCACCGUGCUGAAGUCCAGUGGGUGUCAUGAAUAUUUGCUGAGUGUUGCUGUCGCAGAGAGAGGGGAGUUGGUUGUGACUACCCAGCCACCAGCAUUUUGUGGGUUUCUGGCAGGGCUAACCCCAGGGGCCUGUGACGUCAGAACUCCAUCCCCAGUGCCGUGCCAAGGUGAGUCUGCUUCCGCCAGGAGUUAUUACCAAAUGGAACCUGAGGGAGGAAGGCCAGGUAUUUCCUGAACGUCAUGGACCACGAGGCCCAGGUGACUCCUCAAGGUCUGAGUUUGCUGCAGUGGCGGCAGUUGGCAGGUGGAGCCUGGAGGGUGGUGAGGCGUUAAUGACUGCCUGCUUCCUCCCCGACCCGCCUGUCUCUCUGCUCUGCCGUGCCUGUGAUUUCAUCAUGCACACCUUUGUAAACAAUCCAUUUAGCAACCAAAUGAUACACUGGGUAAUUAUAGCUUUCAGCCUCAUGUCAGGAGUUCCCCGCUCAGCGUGCUCCUGGUGAUACUGCAGCCCGAAUUGGGGACCGGCUUUGCUAACGUCCUGAUGAGAUGUCGGGGGAGAGACAGGAUGUGGCAGGUGGGAGGACUCCAGGUACGACGGAGCUGGAAUCGGAAGGUGUUCCUGGACCUCAGGAAGACGAGAAUGAAAUGGAGGGAAGAAAGUCAAUCCCAUGGAUGCGUGAGGAAUCAAACCAGAGUGUCGGGACAGGCAUGUUCGGUAGUAUUGGCAAGGCUCUAGUCUCACGUGGGGUGUGGGUUUAUUGCUACCUUUCAUAGUCAACUAUAUUAUUGGAUUCAUAAUUGAAUAAAUAUUACUGGACUAUUUUCAUGUACCGUAUAGGACUACAUUUUUUUUUAAGAAGAUAACGAGCAAGAAUGAAGACACGGAAGUAGCUAUAGAUCAGGGGCAGAUAUGGGUGUAGCGUGCUGCUAUGAAGUCCAGCUCUUUUGAAUUAGGGCAAACUUGGGAGAAUUGUUGAUUUUUUCUUGAUAAUAAA